AUACGGAGGAUGCAAGCGUUAUCCGGAUUUAUUGGGUUUAAAGGGUGCGUAGGCUGUUCGGAAAGUCAGGGGUGAAAGCCCGGCGCCUAACGCCGGAACUGCCUUUGAUACUUCCGAGCUGGAAUACGGAUGCCGUGGGAGGAAUGAGUAGUGUAGCGGUGAAAUGCAUUGAUAUUACUCAGAACACCGAUUGCGAAGGCAUCUCACGAAUCCGUCAUUGACGCUGAGGCACGAAAGCGUGGGGAUCAAACAGGAUUAGAUACCCUGGUAGUCCACGCAGUAAACGAUGAUGACUAACCGUCGGCGAUACACAGUCGGUGGCCAAGCGAAAGCGAUAAGUCAUCCACCUGGGGAGUACGUUCGCAAGAAUGAAACUCAAAGGAAUUGACGGGG
rnacentral:rRNA from 1 species